AGAGUUUGAUCAUGGCUCAGAUUGAACGCUGGCGGAAUGCUUUACACAUGCAAGUCGAACGAUGAACCUUAGCUUGCUAAGGGGAUUAGUGGCGAACGGGUGAGUAAUAUAUCGGAACGUGCCUUGUAAUGGGGGAUAACUAGUCGAAAGAUUAGCUAAUACCGCAUACGCCCUGAGGGGGAAAGUAGGGGAUCUUCGGACCUUACGUUAUAAGAGCGGCCGAUAUCUGAUUAGCUAGUUGGUGGGGUAAUGGCCUACCAAGGCUUCGAUCAGUAGCUGGUCUGAGAGGACGACCAGCCACACUGGAACUGAGACACGGUCCAGACUCCUACGGGAGGCAGCAGUGGGGAAUUUUGGACAAUGGGCGAAAGCCUGAUCCAGCCAUUCCGCGUGAGUGAAGAAGGCCUUCGGGUUGUAAAGCUCUUUCGCAAGGGAAGAAAACUUACACAAUAACACUGUGUGAGGCUGACGGUACCUUGAUAAGUAGCACCGGCUAACUACGUGCCAGCAGCCGCGGUAAUACGUAGGGUGCGAGCGUUAAUCGGAAUUACUGGGCGUAAAGCGUGCGCAGGCGGUUUGGCAAGUCAGAUGUGAAAUCCCCGAGCUCAACUUGGGAACUGCGUUUGAAACUGCCAGACUAGAAUAUGUCAGAGGGGGGUAGAAUUCCACGUGUAGCAGUGAAAUGCGUAGAGAUGUGGAGGAAUACCAAUGGCGAAGGCAGCCCCCUGGGAUAAUAUUGACGCUCAUGCACGAAAGCGUGGGGAGCAAACAGGAUUAGAUACCCUGGUAGUCCACGCCCUAAACGAUGUCUACUAGUUGUUGGUGGAGUAAAAUCCAUGAGUAACGCAGCUAACGCGUGAAGUAGACCGCCUGGGGAGUACGGUCGCAAGAUUAAAACUCAAAGGAAUCGACGGGGGCCCGCACAAGCGGUGGAUUAUGUGGAUUAAUUCGAUGCAACGCGAAAAACCUUACCUGGGCCUUGACAUGCCACUAACGAAGCAGAGAUGCAUUAGUGCCCGUAAGGGAAAGUGACACAGUGCUGCAUGGCUGUCGUCAGCUCGUGUCGUGAGAUGUUGGGUUAAGUCCCGCAACGAGCGCAACCUUGC
rnacentral:rRNA from 1 species